ACUCAAAUGAAUAGACGGGGACCCGCACAAGCGGUGGAGCGUGUUGUUUAAUUCGAGGAUAAGCGAAGAACCUUACCAAGAUUUGACAUCCCACUAAUCAUCCCGAAAGGGAAGAGUAUCUUCGGAUAGGUGGUGACAGGUGCUGCAUGGCCGUCGUCAGCUCGUGUCGUGAGACGUUAGGUUAAGUCCUAUAACGAGCGCAACCCUUAUGAAUAGUUGGAUUUUUCUAUUCAGACUGCCCUGGCAACAGGGAGGAAGGAGGGGUCGAAGUCAGGUCAGUAUUGCCCUUACAUCUUGGGCUACAAACACGCUACAAUGGCCGGUACAAAGGGCAGCCAACCCGCGAGGGGGAGCAAAUCCCAUCAAAGCCGGUCUCAGUUCGGAUUGCAGGCUGAAACUCGCCUGCAUGAAGCUGGAAUCGCUAGUAAACGUAGGUCAGCCUUACUACGUUGAAUACGUUCCCGGGUCUUGUACACACCGCCCGU
rnacentral:rRNA from 1 species